GAUGAACGCUGGCGGCGUGCCUAAUACAUGCGAGUCGAGCGAACAGACGAGGAGCUUGCUCCUCUGACGUUAGCGGCGGACGGGUGAGUAACACGUGGAUAACCUACCUAUAAGACUGGGAUAACUUCGGGAAACCGGAGCUAAUACCGGAUAAUAUAUUGAACCGCAUGGUUCAAUAGUGAAAGACGGUUUUGCUGUCACUUAUAGAUGUAUCCGCGCCGCAUUAGCUAGUUGGUAAGGUAACGGCUUACCAAGGCAACGAUGCGUAGCCGACCUGAGAGGGUGAUCGGCCACACUGGAACUGAGACACGGUCCAGACUCCUACGGGAGGCAGCAGUAGGGAAUCUUCCGCAAUGGGCGAAAGCUUGACGGAGCAACGCCGCGUGAGUGAUGAAGGUCUUCGGAUCGUAAAACUCUGUUAUUAGGGAAGAACAAAUGUGUAAGUAACUAUGCACGUCUUGACGGUACCUAAUCAGAAAGCCACGGCUAACUACGUG
rnacentral:rRNA from 1 species